CCUCUCUCCAAUUAAAAGGUUUUUUAAAAUUGCGAUAACACCAUGUGACGGAGCUCCCUGUACCCCUGGCUGGGUACCUCUGCCAAGGACCGCUUCCUAGCUGGAACAGGGGACAAACCACAGCACUUCUGUCCACAGUUGCCGUGGCUUGACUGGGAUCCUGGAACCGCGCCCUCCUGGAGCCAAAUGGGGAAUUCGCUCUAGACACCCCCA